rnacentral:rRNA from 1 species
CCUACGGGAGGCAGCAGUGGGGGAUAUUGCACAAUGGGGGAAACCCUGAUGCAGCGACGCCGCGUGUGGGAAGACGGUCCUCUGGAUUGUAAACCACUGUCCCCAGGGACGAAGAUGACGGUACCUGGGGAGGAAGCUCCGGCUAACUACGUGCCAGCAGCCGCGGUACUACGUAGGGAGCGAGCGUUGUCCGGAAUUACGGGGUGUAAAGGGAGCGUAGGCGGGACUGCAAGUUGGGUGUAAAAUCUACCGGCUCAACCGGUAGCCGCACUCAAAACUGCAGGUCUUGAGUGAAGUAGAGGCAGGCGGAAUUCCUAGUGUAGCGGUGAAAUGCGUAGAUAUUAGGAGGAACACCAGUGGCGAAGGCGGCCUGCUGGGCUUUUACUGACGCUGAGGCUCGAAAGUGUGGGGAGCAAACAGGAUUAGAUACCCUGGUAGUC